GUCGAGAAUCUUUCACAAUGGGGGCAACCCUGAUGGAGCGACGCCGCGUGGAGGAUAAGGUCUUCGGAUUGUAAACUCCUGUCAUGCGUGAACAAGGUUGCUUGGUUAAUACCUGGGCAAAUUGAUGGUAACGCAAGAGGAAGAGACGGCUAACUCUGUGCCAGCAGCCGCGGUAAUACAGAGGUCUCAAGCGUUGUUCGGAAUCACUGGGCGUAAAGGGUGCGUAGGUGGCGUGGUAAGUCAGAUGUGAAAGCCCGGGGCUCAACCUCGGAACUGCAUCCGAUACUGCCAUGCUAGAGUACUGGAGAGGUGACUAGACUUCUCGGUGUAGCAGUGAAAUGCGUAGAUAUCGAGAGGAAUACCAAAGGCGUAGGCAGGUCACUGGACAGUUACUGACACUGAGGCACGAAGGCCAGGGGAGCGAACGGGAUUAGAAACCCUGGUAGUCC
rnacentral:rRNA from 1 species